rnacentral:rRNA from 1 species
UACGAAGGGGACUAGCGUUGUUCGGAAUCACUGGGCGUAAAGCGCACGUAGGCGGAUGUGUCAGUCAGGGGUGAAGUCCCGGGGCUCAACCUCGGAACUGCCUUUGAUACAGCACGUCUCGAGUCCGGAAGAGGUGGGUGGAAUUCCUAGUGUAGAGGUGAAAUUCGUAGAUAUUAGGAAGAACACCGGUGGCGAAGGCGGCCCACUGGUCCGGUACUGACGCUGAGGUGCGAAAGCGUGGGGAGCAAACAGG